UACGUAGGGGGCAAGCGUUGUCCGGAUUUAUUGGGCGUAAAGAGCGUGUAGGCGGCCAUGUAGGUCCGUUGUGAAAACUCGAGGCCCAACCUCGAGACGCCGAUGGAAACCAUGUGGCUAGAGUCCGGAAGAGGAGAGUGGAAUUCCUGGUGUAGCGGUGAAAUGCGUAGAUAUCGUAAGGAAGACCAGUGGCGAAGGCGGGUCUCUGGACAGUUCCUGACGCUGAGGCACGAAGGCCAGGGGAGCAAACGGG
rnacentral:rRNA from 1 species